rnacentral:rRNA from 1 species
AUUGAACGCUGGCGGCAGGCCUAACACAUGCAAGUCGAGCGGCGCGGCAGACGGGAGAGUAAUGCCUAUGAAUCUGCCUGUUAGUGGGGGAUAACGUCCGGAAAUGGGCGCUAAUACUGCCUACUCUCAGAUGAGCCUAGGCCGGAUUAGCUAGUUGGUGGGGUAAAGGCCUACGAAGGCGCCGAUCCGUAACUGGUCUGAGAGGAUGAUCAGUCACACUGGAACUGAGACACGGUCCAGACUCCUACGGGAGGAAGCAGUGGGGAAUAUGGGACAAUGGGCGAAAGCCUGAUCCAGCCAUGCCGCGUGUGUGAAGAAGGUCUUCGGAUUGUAAAGCACUUGAAGUUGGGAGGCGUUACCAACAGAAUAAGCACCGGCUAACUACGUGCCAGCAGCCGCGGUAAUUC